CUAUUACUACGGAUCUUACUGCUACUAUGACCACCACCACCACCACAUCAGUUACUGAGAACUGAACUAGAUGCCAAGCAAAAAUGGUAAACACUUCAUAUACAUUAUCUUUUUAAACACAAAAUGUACUAUUAAUCCAGUUUUACAUAUAAGAAAACUGAGGCUCAAAGAGGCUAAGUAAUUUGUAUGUGAACAUGCUUUACACUAUGUAAAACACCUUAUUAGUAGAUAUCACUAUUAUUAAGAACCUAUCAGCCGGAGAGGAAGAAUUGGCCUUUUAUCUUUCUAAGAUGCACAGUUGUCUUUCUGUUUAAUGGUUUUUUAAAAAUCCCCCUGUGACAAGCUCCAGAGGACAAAUAAUUUGUUUCUUGUGGUGUAUGGCUCUCUAAAUGAAUUAAUUGAUAGGCAUCCCAUUGUCAGUCUCAGGGAUGUGGAAAUAAAACAGACAUGAGAUGUUUUUUACCAAACUAAUUUGUGCUUUAAACACAUAAAUAAUAAAUAUAUAUAUAUUAAAGUAAAUGUGUAUUUACCGUCUCUCCUGCUCCACUUUGAAUUCAAGAACCCGUGUCUUUGUUGGGUCACUGCACUGUCAAUUGAGAAGUUUGGUUUUGUUUCUUUGAGUGUUAGUAAGUGGCAUUAAAUGGUAAAUAUUGCCGGGGGAAAGAAAGGAGAAAAACAGCUCUUCCAAUCCAUCCCUGUUUCCAUUCAAUUAAAGGAGGGUAGAAAGAAUACUUAAGAUAAUUGUAAUAAGUCUAAUAGAAUAGCAGGAGCCACUCUUUUCCUUUCAGUAGGCCAUUAGCUCAGAACUAUUUUCAGAGUAAUACUAAGAUGAUAUUUGCCUUUUCACUGUGUUGGCACUUGUAUUGAUAAGGCAAAAACAGUGGAGUCUUAGCAAAAAUUAAGACCAUGAAAACAAACUGCACUAGGAAUAAUUCUCUUCUUCAUUACUGUUUACUUGCAGGGGGAAAAACCAUUUUCGUUUAAGAAAGUCCUUGGUGAAGUAGUAAAAAUAUUAAUUUUAUUAAAUCUCAACCUUGAGUACAAGUCUUGUCCUUGACUGUACUUACAAGUUUUGUCCUCCCCAAAGCAUAUGGCGUCAAGGCUGGGCCUAACCCAGUCUCAUGACCUUGUGAAUCCAGU
rnacentral:lncRNA from 1 species